rnacentral:rRNA from 1 species
UACGAAGGGGGCUAGCGUUGCUCGGAAUCACUGGGCGUAAAGGGUGCGUAGGCGGGUCUUUAAGUCGGGGUGAAAUCCUGGAGCUCAACUCCAGAACUGCCUUCGAUACUGGAAGACUUGAGUCCGGGAGAGGUGAGUGGAACUGCGAGUGUAGAGGUGAAAUUCGUAGAUAUUCGCAAGAACACCAGUGGCGAAGGCGGCUCACUGGCCCGGUACUGACGCUGAGGUGCGAAAGCGUGG